rnacentral:misc_RNA from 1 species
AACCAACCAAUAUCAUCCUUAUUAUCUAAAAGCUCUCCAAAAGGCUCAAGAGUCGAAGUUAGCUGGCAAGAGCUUCAUUUCAGAGAAACUUGAUUCACUAGGGCAUGGGAUGGACAGGAAAACUGGAACCAAAGAAAGUGAUGCCCUGUCCUUGGCAUCUGAUAUACCAUAUGAGUCUGACAGGAAAGAAAAGUUUAAAAUGGUAAUUGGAAAGUCAAAGAAGGAUGGACAGGACCCACCUUCAAAAAUCACCCAGCCACAAGUUGGAGUUAGUGUGGAUGCUGCUGCUGCUAUUCUUCAGGCUGCCACAAAAGGCAUUAAGAAUCCCAACCUGGAAAUGCUAUCUAAGACCAUAAGUGGUAUUGGUCAUGGUCCUAGCAGUGAAGCUGGAGAUAGCCUCCUUUCAUCUUGUCCUCAAAGUUCCAACCAGAAGUCAGACAAGAUUUGGGAGCAUGGUGUUUCUAUCCCUGUAGCUAAAGCCAUUGCAAAGACAAUGGCUGUUGCAGCAGCAAGUGAGGCUGAUUCCUCGGAAGCGAGGUUGACCAGAGAGCAGAAGUUGAAGGCUGAGAGACUGAAACGAGCAAAGAUGUUUGCAGCCAUGAUAAAAGGUGGUGCUGCACCUUU